CCUAAUUUUUAUUGGAAUGGCCCUGUCCACCGUCACAUGGCCAUAGCGACCACAUGUCGAACAGUACGCCGGCAUCCUCUCUGGUUUUACAACCAGGGAUAACGGAGGAUCUCGAUUGGCGAUCCAAUCUGGCGUCCAUCUCGACAGCCAAACUAUCGCCCGACCUUGAAGCCACGCAUGUUUACAAUCAGCCUCCAAUGUGAAUUGCAGCAUAAUUGUUUUCCGAUUCAAGGAUCCAAUCUGGAUUGCACCACCUAGGCGAAGGCUGGAACCAAUCUCUCUUCGAAUUUCCUCUAGAGACGGCCUAUUUCUCGCAAAUCGGCCUAUGAGAAUGAGUUUCUCCUCUGCCUCCACCAUCCUAUCCCAUUCUGCCUCCGAGAAUCUCACUAUCAGAACUCCAGACUUUCGUUAUGCUGGUGUCAUUAGGGUGGUAAUCCUUGGUGAGGGUUGUGUUAAUUUAGUUGGCUACUAAGGACUGUGCAAGCAUGUACGACCAUCUCUGCAAACGCUACUACUACUGUGACAAUUUCCAAAUAUACUGUGCAAUGUGACCUGUCCUUCUGUGCAAAUGGCUGUUGGUUGUAACUGCCACUAGGUGGAAGAAUGCAGUGGCAACUUCUAUACACUGUAGCGUAUUCAACUGUUCUAAUUUUAAAAUGGUGUCCGAGAUUAUGUUUGUUUAGCUUCGUUGUUUAGGUUCAUAAGUGGUUAAAUGACUACAUAAUUUUAUUGUGUAAUGUGACAUGUCCUUCUAUGCAAAUGGCUAUUGGUUGUGACUAUCGCUAGGUGAAAGAAUGCAGUGGCAACUUCUGCGCACUAUAGCGUAUUCAAAUGUGCUCAUACUAAAAUGGUAUCCAAGAUUAUGGAAGGUAGAUUCUUCCGUUUAUAGUGUGAUUAUUAUGAUAAUCCUUACACCCCAUGUUUUCA